AACAUGGUUCAUAUAUUAUGGAAAAAAAAAAACAGAAAAAAGGUGAAACGUGAGUUUUAGCUAAUUAGGUCAUCUCCUCUUCAUUCACCCUUUCAGCCGUUUUUGGUUCUUCUUCUUCUUCAUUCUUCUGUUCUUCUUCAUCAUCCUCAAAUCGGUUCUUCUUCAUCAUCCUCAAAUCGGUUCUUCUUCAUCAUCCUCAAAUCAAGCGCCGAAUCCUCACUCACUCUUUAGUUCUCAACUCUUCAAGCUCAAUUUGAGUUCUCCAUCUUCAAAUCUUCCUCUCCUUCAAGCUGUCACAGCUUAAAGCAAUGGAGCAAGAGUUUAGUGGUUUUGAUGAGGAUUCUACUGUUCAGAAUCAAGAUUCUACUGAACAUACCACUAGUGGUAGUAAGCGUGGACGAACAUCAGAUGUUUGGAGGCAUUACACCUUUUUUGAUAAGAUGGUUGGUCUUGCUCCGGUAAAAUAUGCUCGAUGCAAUGUUUGUGGUAAUGAAUAUAAAACACCAGGCAAGGCAGGUACUUCAACUUGUAAAGCUCAUACUAAGACAUGCAUGAGUAAAAAUCCACACCAUCCUGGAAAUCAUGAAAGUGGUCUUUAGUCCCUGUUUAAUCAGACUCGUCAUUUACAAUUGCUUGCUAGAGCUAUAAUUUUGCAUUCCUAUCUUUUAAGUAUUGUAGAGCAUCAUGGCCUUAGGGAAGUUUUUACGAACCUGAAUCCCAACGUGCAGCAUGUGUGUAGAAACACUAUUUUGAAAUAUUGCAUUGCUGAGCAUGAUAAGUUUAAGUCUUUAUUGUUGCAAUCUUUUUCUGGAAUUGAAGGUAGAGUUAGCUUCACUUGUGACUUGUGGACAACAUGCACUAAUCAAGGUUAUUUCACCUUAACUGCACAUUAUGUUGAUAAAAAUUGGUGUCUUAGAUCUAAAAUACUGAAUGUUAGAUAUUGUGGUCCUCCUCAUACUGGUGUUGAGGUAGAAAUUUUUUUGUUAAAACUUAUUGGGGAGUGGAACCUUCAGGGUAAAGCUUUUGCAAUGAGUGUUGAUAAUGCUCGAUCCAUGGAUGUUAUGGUUAACCUUUUGAAGAAAGAUUUAAUGUUGACUUCUCCUCUUCCUUGUAAUGGCAAAUUUUUUCAUAUUCGAUGUUCUGCUCAUGUCUUGAACAUUAUUGUUCAAAGAGGUUUAAAAGAAGUUGAUAGUAGUGUUCAAAAAUUGCGUGAGGUUUGUAAAUAUAUUGAUUCUUCAGACUCUAGACUCACUCAAUUUGAGCAUGCUCUUCAUGAGGUUAACUGUGUGUUUAAUGGAAAGUUACGUCUUGAUGUUGUGACUCGUUGGAAUGCCACCUAUACGAUGCUCCGAAAAGCUUUAGAAGCAAAGUAAGCCUUGAAAUUGGUUAUUGAUAGGUUUAUGAUUUAUGAAUUCAAACUUUCAGAUGACUAAUGGGAUACCCUUGCUAAAAUAUGACAUUUCCUAAAGCCAUUUCAUGAAAUCACCGUGUUAUUUUCUGGUUCAGAAUAUCCUACUGCAAAUUUGUAUUUUGCUAGUGUUUUGAAAAUUGAGCACACAAUAAGUAGAGCCCAUAUAGACCCUAAACUUGCACCCAUGGACAAAGUUAUGCUUGAAAAGUUUGAGGGCUAUUGGGAUGAAUAUAGUUUGAUCCUUUCAAUUGCUAUUGUACUUGAUCCUCGCUAUAAGCUUGUUCGAUUGACGAAGAUGUUAAAAGCGCUUUAUGUUGAUGAGGCAUGUGUUGAAAAGGCGAAGGUGAUUAAAGAUACUCUUUUGGAGUUGUAUAACUUUUAUUCUUCUAUGGUUUCCGGUUUUAAAUCAAGUACAAUUGUUCCACCUUCCAACCCAAGUGUUAUCGAUACUUCAAAUAGUCACUUCGAUGAUGAUAUAUAUUCAAGUAUGUUGAUGAUGAUGAUGACGAGGAUGGCCCAUCAAAUCGGCCAUCGAUGGAGAUUGAUUCUUAUUUGAAUACUCCUCGGCAACCAAUUUAUGAAGGGCAGAAUUAUGAUGUUCUCAAGUAUUGGGAAUCUCAGAUUAGUGUGUACCCCAUAUUAGCUGUUAUGGCUAGGGAUGUUUUGGCCAUUCCUAUUACAUCGGUAGCCUCUGAGUCUUCUUUUAGCAUGGGUGGUUGUAUUUUAAACAAGUAUAGGAGUGCGCUUUUGCCUAAGAAUGUUGAGGCGUUGGUGACCACACAAAAUUGGUUACGUGGUUAUGAUUGUGAUAUUGAGGAAGACGUCCUUGAAAUUGGUAAAGAAGUGAUAGAUGAAAGUUUUGCAUCUAAUUAAGAAGGGACUUGGAGAUCUAGAAAUUGAGCUGGUGAUACCUUAGACAAGGAUGCAAGAUCAAGAAACGAAAGUCUAUAUAAGACCAUCAUUUUGCUUUCCCCUACCGUGGUCUGUAGUAAAAUUGUCCUUGAACAAAAACUUGACUUCUGCACCUAUGGAUUAAUGUGUAAAAUAUACUAUUGUGAUAUUGUCCCUGAUACAAGCCUUCUUGCAAA